rnacentral:rRNA from 1 species
AGUGAACGCUGGCGGUAGGCCUAACACAUGCAAGUCGAACGGCAGCACAGUAAGAGCUUGCUCUUACGGGUGGCGAGUGGCGGACGGGUGAGGAAUACAUCGGAAUCUACUUUUUCGUGGGGGAUAACGUAGGGAAACUUACGCUAAUACCGCAUACGACCUACGGGUGAAAGCAGGGGAUCUUCGGACCUUGCGCGAUUGAAUGAGCCGAUGUCGGAUUAGCUAGUUGGCGGGGUAAAGGCCCACCAAGGCGACGACCCGUAGCUGGUCUGAGAGGAUGAUCAGCCACACUGGAACUGAGACACGGUCCAGACUCCUACGGGAGGCAGCAGUGGGGAAUAUUGGACAAUGGGCGCAAGCCUGAUCCAGCCAUACCGCGUGGAUGAAGAAGGCCUUCGGGUUGUAAAGCCCUUUUGUUGGGAAAGAAAAGCAGCAGGUUAAUACCCCGCUGUUCUGACGGUACCCAAAGAAUAAGCACCGGCUAACUUCGUG